AUUGAACGCUGGCGGUAUGCUUAACACACGCAAGUCGAACGGUAACAGGCCUUCGGGUGCUGACGAGUGGCGGACGGGUGAGUAACGCGUAGGAAUCUGCCUCAUAGUGGGGGACAACGUUGGGAAACUCACGCUAAUACCGCAUACGCCCUACGGGGGAAAGCGGGGGAUCGUAAGACCUCGCGCUAUGAGAAUAGCCUGCGUUAGAUUAGCUAGUUGGGGGGGGAAAAGAUUACCAAGGCGACGAUCUAUAGCUGGUCUGAGAGGACGAUCAGCCCCACUGGGACGUAGGCCGGCCCCAGACUCCGACGGGAGGCAGCAGUGGGGAAUAUUGGAAAAUGGGCUGAAGCCUGAUCCAGCAAUACCGUGGGUGUGAAGAAGGCCUUAGGGUUGUAAAGCACUUUCAAUAGGGAGAAACACCUGCCGGUCAAUACCCGGUAGCUUGACAUUACCUAUAGAAGAAGCACCGGCUAACUCCGUGCCAGCCGCCGCCGUAAGAC
rnacentral:rRNA from 1 species